GACGAACCGUGCGAACGUUAUUCGGAAUCACUGGGCUUAAAGGGCGCGUAGGCGGGUCGGUAAGUCAGGGGUGAAAUCCCACGGCCCAACCGUGGAAGUGCCUCUGAUACUGCCGGCCUCGAGGGGGAUAGGGGCGUGCGGAACUCAGGGUGGAGCGGUGAAAUGCGUAGAUAUCGGGAGGAACACCUGUGGCGAAAGCGGCUCACUGGACCACAACUGACGCUGAUGCGCGAAAGCUAGGGGAGCAAACAGGG
rnacentral:rRNA from 1 species